rnacentral:rRNA from 1 species
UACAGAGGUCUCGAGCGUUGUUCGGAUUCAUUGGGCGUAAAAGGGCGCGUAGGCGGCGUGUUAAGUCACUUGUGAAAUCUCUAAGCUUAACUUAGAACGGUCAAGUGAUACUGAUGUGCUAGAGUGCAGAAGGGGCAACCGGAAUUCUUGGUGUAGCGGUGAAAUGCGUAGAUAUCAAGAGGAACACCUGAGGUGAAGACGGGUUGCUGGGCUGACACUGACGCUGAGGCGCGAAAGCUAGGGUAGCAAACGGG